rnacentral:lncRNA from 1 species
GCUCGAAGGCAGCUGCACGAAGUUCGCGAAUAAUUUGUAUAAAUCGUAUCGGAAAAAAAUUAGAUAAUUGCGGAAUCGUUAUAAAAGUUUGUAAUCGCAAGUAAAAAAAUUGUCAGUUUAUUAGUUUAUUUAUAAAAAAUCAAAAACUUUUUACGCCGCGAGAAAGUAGAAAAAUGCGUUUUUCUUGUAAGAUAUUGAUCUGAGAACAUUGAAACCACUGCGAAUCGUUUGUAAAUUAAUUACCGAUUCUGUAAAUAUUGCCUUUAUUGCGUUAUUCGCUAUAGAUACUGAUUAAUAAAUUAAUUAUUUUUUCGUCAACUAUGCUACACCAAUUCGGGCGGUUCGUGUACCAUAUUCCGUUCGAUGAUUCGAAUCAGCUGUUCCUAUAUCGUUACGCACGUGUACUGCAGUGACUAUAUAAUAUACGACAACAACAAUAAGUCGGUUUGUGCAAGUGCAUCGCGGAUUCAGAAGUGUGUACAGUGCAGCGAUGGUCUCCUGGUGCAACGGCCUCUUCAGGGAGUAUUGGCUUUCAAUCUUAUUCUAACUUUAAUAAGUCCAGAAGUAGUGAAAGUGUAAAUUACUAGUAAUCUUCAAUAACACCAAUCAGUCUACAUGCCAUUAGAUCAUACUUGGAUAGAAGAGCUUACCGUUGUAGCUACUACUGUUAUAACUACAGGUAUGUCCUAUCGUACAAAACAUUUUGAACCUUCAAUGGCUAACUUAUAACAAAUAUUAGGUGCUUCAAAACAUUGUAAUCAGGGUGACCAGACCUGUCGUCACUUACUAUCAUUAUAUUACAAAAAAUAUUAAUUGAGAUUACAUAAUAAUUUCUUUGUUGAUUUUUGAAAUAUCUGAAAUCGUAAACAUCUCACCACAUUACUAAAUAAUCACAUAAAUAACAUUUGGCCAGGUCUGGUCACCUGGCUCAUUGAAAUAUCUUGUGCAACAUACUAAUUCAUUUAUUUUUCAUCGAACGAGCAAACUGUUCCUGCAUAAGUUCCUGCAUCACUGAUGUCUCACCGGUAUCCACUCUUAUUUGUGCUGCUGCGCGUAUUCACUGGAGUGAAGUCUUCAAUACUUAUUGAAUUACCUUUCGCCAAGAGUGUAUCAUGAAGGACAUUUUCAGAACAAUACAUAUAAUAUAACAAAGUGAUCAAAAUAUUAAAAUUAUUAAUUUUUCAGAUUCGAGGCCGUCAACUUUGAUGGUGUAAACAACAGUGCGACUGAUGCAGUGCAGGACAGCUGGAUAGCUGUUUCAUCUGUUUCAAGAGUGAAGACCGCUGUGUUACAAGUGAAAGUGCGAAAGUGUUCUUAGGGGGAUGAAAUAGACUUAGGGAUUAGAAUGUGAGGGAGUAGGAUUAGUUUAGAAUAGUGUUAUCAAAAUAGGAUACAGAGCGUAUUAUCAGAUGAAAAUUGAAACUCUAAGUUCAUUAAUUAGAAUACAUAAUGUUUUGUUUAAUAACUUUCGAAAAUGUCACUGAAUAUUUUGUUUCAAUUUUCAUCUGCUCAGACUUUGGCAGGAUAUAUGUUAUUUUGCGAGUAAACUUUAGAAAAGCUAAUCACAGAGGAUCUGUCAGGACUAGCUUAAAUAAAUCUGUGUUCUGCCAUAUUUUUAGGUCCAGAAGGUGAAAAUAGAAAAUUCAACUCAAGUAAUUAUGACCAUCUGGUCCUAAAAAUACAGCAGAAAGUAAAAAAAGAACUUGUAAACGCUUAGAGAUACUCCAUCUCAGCAAUUACAGUUGCAAAGAGAAAAACCGUGAGCAGGUGUUUAGGUGAUCAUAGGAACCGAAUAUAGAUAAACGAAAAUUGCCAUGAUAGCUAUAGUUUCCUAAUGAUUAACAUAACAUCUGUACAAGUUUUUAGACCUCUAGAUUAAAAACUACUUUAAUAGUAUUGUCAUUACGUUCAACAAGUUUUGUAUAUCCUUAAAAAAAGUAACUACCAUAGCAAUUUUUAUUUAUCAUUGUCAGUGACUUUUAUCGAGGUAUUUUACUUAAUUUUAAAGCGUGGAAAAGCAACAAUAAUUUUGAACAAUUAUAAAUAAUAUAAACUUAAAAAUACUUCAAUUUGUUAAUAUGCAAAUAAUUUAUAAUACUUGAAAGGAAAAAUUAUUGUUAAAUACUAAGGUAUAGCUUGAGUAACAAUGCUUUUCUAUACUUGAAAUUAUAC